GACGAACGCUGGCGGCGUGCUUAACACAUGCCAGUCGAACGGAAAGGCCCUGCUUUUGUGGGGUGCUCGAGUGGCGAACGGGUGAGUAAAACGUGAGUAACCUGCACUUGACUUUGGGAUAAAUUCAGGAAACUGGGGCGAAUACCGGAUAGGAGCUCCUGCUGCAUGGGGGGGGUUGGUAAGAUUCGGCGGUUGGGGAUGGACUCGCGGCGUAUCAGCCUGUUGGUGGGGUAGUGGCUUACCAAGGCUUGGACGGGUAGCCGGCGUGAGAGGGUGACGGGCGGCAUGGGAGGGGAGACAGCGACAUGGGGACUGAGAGAGGGCGCAGACUCCUACGGGAGGCAGCGGGGGGGAAUAUUGCACAAUGGGCGGGAGCCUGAUGUAGCGACGCCGGGUGCGGGAUGACGGCCUUCUGGUUGUAAACCGCUUUCGCCUGUGACGAAGCGUGAGUGACGGUACUGGGUCAAGAAGCACCGGCUAACUACGUG
rnacentral:rRNA from 1 species